GAUUAACGCUGGCGGCGUGCAUAACACAUGCAAGUCGAACGAUGAAACUUUACUGACUUCUUCGGAAUGAUUUAAAGCGGAUUAGUGGCGAACGGGUGAGUAACGCGUGAGUAACCUGCCUUACACAAGGGGAUAGCCUCUGGAAACGGAGAAUAAUACCCUAUGAAACCAGACAAUCGCAUGAUAAUCUGGUCAAAAUGUUUAGUGGUGUAAGAUGGACUUGCGUCUGAUUAGCUAGUUGGUGAGAUAAAAGCUCACCAAGGCAACGAUCAGUAGCCGGCUUGAGAGAGUGGACGGCCACAUUGGGACUGAGACACGGCCCAGACUCCUACGGGAGGCAGCAGUGGGGAAUUUUGCACAAUGGGGGAAACCCUAAUGCAGCGACGCCGCGUGAUUUAGAAGGCCUUCGGGUUGUAAAAAUCUUUUGUAUAGGAAGAAAAUGACAGUACUAUACGAAUAAGGUCCGGCUAAUUACGUG
rnacentral:rRNA from 1 species